rnacentral:rRNA from 1 species
GACGAACGCUGGCGGCGUGCUUAACACAUGCAAGUCGAACGCGCCUGUCCUCUGGGUUUCUGGGGGGUGGGUGAGUGGCGAACGGGUGAGUAACACGUGAGUAACCUGCCCCCUUCUUCGGGAUAACGGUCUGAAAGGGCUGCUAAUACCGGGUAUUCACUGGUCUCCGCAUGGGGUCUGGUGGAAAGGUUUUUUUCUGGUGGGGGAUGGGCUCGCGGCCUAUCAGCUUGUUGGUGGGGUGAUGGCCCACCAAGGCUUGGACGGGUAGCCGGCCUGAGAGGGUGACCGGUCACAUUGGGACUGAGAUACGGCCCAGACUCCUACGGGAGGCAGCAGUGGGGAAUAUUGCACAAUGGGCGCAAGCCUGAUGCAGCGACGCCGCGUGAGGGAUGGAGGCCUUCGGGUUGUGAACCUCUUUCGCCCGUGGUCAAGCCGCGACGUGGGUCGUGGUGAGGGUAGUGGGUAAAGAAGCGCCGGCUAACUACGUG